CCUCCGUUCCAAAAUAAGUGCAGCCAUGAGUUUCCGCGCCCAACUUUGAUAGUCCGUCUUAUUUGAAAUUUUUUUAUAAUUAGUAUUUUUAUUGUUAUAAGAUGAUAAAACAUGAAUAGUACUUUAUGUUUUUAAUUUUUUUAAAAAAUUUUUCAAAUAAGACGAAUGGUCAAAGUUGGACGCGGAAAACCAUGGCUGCACUUAUUUUGGGACGGAGGGA
rnacentral:pre_miRNA from 1 species